rnacentral:rRNA from 1 species
AGCUCCAAUAGCGUAUAUUAAAGUUGUUGCAGUUAAAAAGCUCGUAGUUGGAUUUCUGGUGGGAGCGGCCGGUCCGCCUCAUUCGGGGUGUGUACUGGGCCGUCUCCAGCCAUCCUUGGGGAGAACGGUUCUGGCAUUGAGUUGUCGGGGCCGGGAACCCCAUCGUUUACUGUGAAAAAAUUAGAGUGUUUAAAGCAGGCUUACGCCGUUGAAUACAUUAGCAUGGAAUAAUAAGAUAGGACUUUGGUGGUCUAUUUUGUUGGUUUGCACACCAAGGUAAUGAUUAAUAGGGAUAGUUGGGGGUAUUCGUAUUUAAUUGUCAGAGGUGAAAUUCUUGGAUUUCUGAAAGACGAACUACUGCGAAAGCAUUUACCAAGGAUGUUUUCA